UUUAUCGCAAGACACGCAGAUCGUUUUCCAGCAAAUAAAUUGCAUUUUAGCUUCAAAAAGCAAAGGAACGUCCAAAAUAACUAUGCUGUAACCCCGUACGUAACAUCGAAGCAGUUCUUUGAGCAUUUCCAAACGUACUGCUGGAUGUAUUAUUGAAUUCAAAAGUGACCUCUUUCCUGCGUCUUGAAAUACUGCCUGGCCAAGCUUUGCUCGAUUCAAAG